CUCCAGACUCCUACGGGAGGCAGCAGUGGGGAAUAUUGCACAAUGGGGGAAACCCUGAUGCAGCGACGCCGCGUGAGUGAAGAAGUAUUUCGGUAUGUAAAGCUCUAUCAGCAGGGAAGAAAAUGACGGUACCUGACUAAGAAGCCCCGGCUAACUACGUGCCAGCAGCCGCGGUAAUACGUAGGGGGCAAGCGUUAUCCGGAUUUACUGGGUGUAAAGGGGGCGCAGACGGCAGCGCAAGCCAGGAGUGAAAGCCCGGGGCCCAACCCCGGGACUGCUCUUGGAACUGCGCGGCUGGAGUGCAGGAGGGGCAGGCGGAAUUCCUGGUGUAGCGGUGAAAUGCGUAGAUAUUAGGAGGAACACCGGCGGCGAAGGCGGCCUGCUGGACCGUAACUGACGUUGAGGCUCGAAAGCGUGGGGAGCAAACAGGAUUAGAUACCCUAGUA
rnacentral:rRNA from 1 species